CAGGAUCUUUGCAAAUACACCAAAUCUUCAAAAACUGAGAUGUGAAGUUUUGUCAUGUCAUGGCUUUUUCCCUGCAUUUAACAAUCUUGAAAUGCUCAAGUUUUCUUGGGGUCGUUCGGGGACAUGGGUCACUGAGCUGAACUUGCCACCAAAUCUCAAGAAAUUAACACUAUCCAAUGGUUGCGUAUAUCGACUUGAUCAGGUUGCAAUCCUCCCCCGACUUGUGGUACUCAAACUGCUAAACGUUUCCAUUAGUUCCCAAGUAUGGAAAGUGACCGAUGAGCAUUUCCCUCACCUCAAAUUCUUGAAACUGCAAGAUCUUUCUUUUUCUGUAUGGGAUGUUUCGGAUGAUGCUUUCCCAUACCUUGAGCAUUUGGUGUUAAGAAGAUGUCAAUAUCUUAGGAUGAUCCCUUCUUGCUUUGGAUACAUGACGUCUCUAAAGUCCAUUGCGAUAAAGUCAUGUAAGGAAGAAUCACUCGCUGAGUCAGCCUUGGAGAUCAAGAAUAUGCAAGUUGAUGAGAUAGGAAAUUCUGAUUUCCAGGUCUCCAUCCACAAGUAGAUCAACAAUGCUCUUGUACUUUGUCUCGAACUGAUUAUCAGUUUUUAAGGAGUUUUAUCAGCUGAAGCAGUUGGAAAGAACAAGAAGGCUGUAUUAGUUGGACUACUGGUGGUAUCAAUUAUAGUAUUCUGCAACUGAUUUUAGUGAUUUGUUUGCUUACAGAUUGAGAAUAUGUGUAUGAUAUAUAGAUAUUGAAUAAGCGAUGUGUUUCCACCUGUUAUUAAUAUUGUUUUGUACCUGACUUAUUUCCUCUUUAUCAUGUUGUGGAUAGUUUUGAGUUCUUUCAG
rnacentral:misc_RNA from 1 species